GACGAACGCUGGCGGCGUGCCUAAUACAUGCAAGUUGAGCGCUGAAGGUUGGUACUUGUACCAACUGGAUGAGCAGCGAACGGGUGAGUAACGCGUGGGUAAUCUGCCUUUGAGCGGGGGACAACAUUUGGAAACGAAUGCUAAUACCGCAUAAAAACGUUAAACACAAGUUUUAAGUUUGAAAGAUGCAAUUGCAUCACUCAAAGAUGAUCCCGCGUUGUAUUAGCUAGUUGGUGAGGUAAAGGCUCACCAAGGCGAUGAUACAUAGCCGGCCUGAGAGGGUGAACGGCCAACAUGGGACUGGGAACCGGCCCAAACCCCUACGGGAGGCAGCAGGAGGGGAUCUUCGGCCAUGGACGAAAGUCUUACCGAGCAACGGCGCGUGAGUGAAGAAGGGUCUCGGAUCGUAAAACUCUGUUGGUAGAGGAGAACGUGGGUGAGAGUGGAACGCUCAUCAAGUGACGGUAACUACACAGAAAGGGACGGCUAACUACGUG
rnacentral:rRNA from 1 species